UACGUAGGGUGCAAGCGUUAAUCGGAAUUACUGGGCGUAAAACGUGCGCAGGCGGUUAUGUAAGACAGGUGUGAAAUCCCCGGGCUUAACCUGGGAACUGCGCUUCUAACUGGCAGGCUUGAGUGUGGCAGAGGGGGGUGGAAUUCCACGUGUAGCAGUGAAAUGCGUAGAGAUGUGGAGGAACACCGAUGGCGAAGGCAGCCCCCUGGGCUAACACUGACGCCUCAUGCACGAAAGCGUGGGGAGCAAACAGG
rnacentral:rRNA from 1 species